ensembl:snRNA LOC120094927 U1 spliceosomal RNA
AUAAUUAACUGUCAGGGGAAAUACAAUGAUCACAAAUGUGGUUUUCCCACAGUAAAGCUUAUCCAUUGUUCUCCUGGUGUGCUGACCCCUGUGUUUUCCCCAAAUGUGGGGAAAGUGCAUUAUUUGUGCUAGUGGGGGACUACAUUUGUACUCUCCUU